GUGAUCCAGGAUUGACUGAGAUUCCUUGAGAAGAAAGGAAAUAGGAGGAAAAUGGUACUGGAAGCAACAGCACAAGGGCUACUAGUGAUUGUGACAAACAGCUGUGAACAGGCACAACAAAUUGUAGGACUAAAAUACAACUUUAAAGGUAAAAAACAAAUGACUAGAUCUUUCAGCUCAGCUCUAAAAUAUUCACCAUUUUAACUGAGAACAGAGCAAGACACAAUGACCAGGUUGGUUGCAACUCAUGACAAAAAGGUAUUUCUAAAUAUAUUUGGCAAGUGGAAAAAUCAAAAUAAAACAUAAAAUAUUUAUGGAUGCAAAAGAAAGAGGAGAUUUUCCCCUGCCAGAUAUGAGACCAUAGUAUGAGGCAUCCUGUCUUUGUUGGUUAAAGGAAUGGAUGACGUUAGAGAAUUCACAUAUUCUAGACUUAGAAGAUCACGACAAUAUUUUUGGUUGGCACGCUUAUUUAUGGUAUGAAAAGGUGAAAGUUCAUAAAAGAUUUACAAAUCAUAUAAUUAGGAAAAAAUUGUAGAGUAUGGGAUAAAUCCAAGAAUUUAUUAAAAACACCACUUUGGUUCUCAUCAUUGAAAGCUAUAGUGGUAAAGAAAAAGAAUAUGAUAGAAGGGUGCGGAACUUACAGAAAUUUAUUAAAACAAGAGGGAAGAGAGUAUAAAUUAAAAGAAUUUAAAGAAUUAUAAGGAAAGUUACCAGCAUGGAUACACUAUCAUCAUUUGAAUGAAGUAUUUAAGAAAGAUAGGAUACGAGGGUUUUGGGAACAAAUAUCACAAUUGGAGAGAGACCUGAUGGAAUGGAAUGUAAAAGUGCUGUCUAAAAUAUUAUUGGAAUGGGAGACAAAGGAUGAGCAAGUAAAAUCCUCAAUGAUACAUUGGGAAUAGAUAUUGGUCAUAAUAUGGGCAUGGAAGCAUGGGAACGAUUGUGGAAUAUGGAUAUAAAAUUUACAGCAUGUUAUGGUCUAAGAGAAAAAUAUAUGAAAAUGAUAUAUCAAUGGUAUCUAACACUGAGUAAAUUGGCAAAAAUGUAUAAAUCUAAAUCAAAUGUAUAAAUCUAAAAGCUAAAGCACAGAAUGAACUCAGGCUUGCUAGAGAGGUUAAAAGCAACAGUUCAAGAAGGACACUGACAAACUGGAACGUGUCCAGAGGAGGGCAACCAAAAUGGUCAAAGGCCUGGAAACGAUGCCUUAUGAGGAACGGCUAAGGGAGCUGGGCAUGUUUAGCCUGGAGAAGAGGAGGUUAAGGGGUGAUAUGAUAGCCAUGUUCAAAUAUAUAAAAGGAUGUCACAUAGAGGAGGGAGAAAGGUUGUUUUCUGCUGCUCCAGAGAAGUGGACACGGAGCAAUGGAUCCAAACUACAAGAAAGAAGAUUCCACCUAAACAUUAGGAAGAACUUCCUGACAGUAAGAGCUGUUCGACAGUGGAAUUUGCUGCCAAGGAAUGUGGUGGAGUCUCCUUCUUUGGGGGUCUUUAAGCAGAGGCUUGACAACCAUAUGUCAGGAGUGCUCUGAUGGUGUUUCCUGCUUGGCAGGGGGUUGGACUUGAUGGCCCUUGUGGUCUCUUCCAACUCUAUGAUUCUAUGAUUCUAUGAUUCAACAAAAAAGGCUUUUAUGAGUAUGUCCGUAGCAAAAGGAAGAACAAAGAAACAGUGGGGUCACUCAGAGGAGAAGAUGGUGAAAUGCAAACAGGGGACACAGAAAGGGCUGAACUCCUCAAUGCCUUCUUUGCCUCAGUCUUCUCCGAUAAAGAAAACAAUGCCCGACCUGAAGAAUUUGGAGCAAAUGAUUCAGCAAAGGAAACACAGCCCAGAAUAACUAAGGAGAUAGUACAAGAAUACUUGGCUAGUUUAGAUGUAUUCAAGUCUCCAGGGCCAGAUAAACUGCAUCCAAGAGUAUUAAAAGUCUUGGCAGAUGUGAUCUCAGAACCACUGGCAGUCAUCUUUGAGAAUUCCUGGAGAACAGGCGAAGUCCCGGCAGACUGGAGGAGGGCAAAUGUUGUCCCUAUUUUCAAAAAGGGGGAAAGAGAGGACCCAAAUAAUUACCGCCCAGUCAGUCUGACAUCAAUACCAGGGAAGAUUCUGGAGCAGAUCAUUAAGCAAACAGUCUGUGAGCACCUAGAAAGGAAUGCUGUCUUCACCAAUAGUCAGCAUGGAUUUCUGAAAAAUAAGUCAUGUCAGACUAACCUGAUCUCGUUUUUUGACAGAAUUACACGCCUGGUAGAUGAAGGGAACGCAGUGGAUGUAGCCUACCUUGAUUUCAGCAAGGCAUUUGACAAGGUGCCCCAUGAUAUUCUUGUAAAGAAGCUGGUAAAAUGCAGUCUUGACUAUGCUACCACUCAGUGGAUUUGUAACUGGCUGACUGUCUGAACCCAAAGGGUGCUCAUCAAUGGUUCCUCUUCAUCCUGGAGAAGAGUGACUAGUGGGGUGCCGCAGGGUUCUGUCUUGGGCCCGGUCUUAUUCAACAUCUUUAUCAACGACUUGGAUGAUGGACUCAAGGGCAUCUUGAUCAAAUUUGCAGAUGACACCAAACUGGGAGGGUGGCUAACACCCCAGAGGACAGGAUCACACUUCAAAACGACCUUGACAGAUUAGAGAACUGGGCCAAAACAAACAAGAUGAAUUUUAACAGGGAGAAAUGUAAAGUAUUGCACUUGGGCAAAAAAAUGAGAGGCACAAAUACAAGAUGGGGGACACCUGGCUUGAGAGCAGUACAUGUGAAAAGGAUCUAGGAGUCUUGGUUGACCACAAACUUGACAUGAGCCAACAGUGUGACGCGGCAGCUAAAAAGCCAAUGCAAUUCUGGGCUGCAUCAAUAGGAGUAUAGCAUCUAGAUCAAGGGAAGUAAUAGUGCCACUGUAUUCUGCUCUGGUCAGACCUCACCUGGAGUACUGUGUCCAGUUCUGGGCACCACAGUUCAAGAAGGACACUGACAAACUGGAACGUGUCCAGAGGAGGGCAACCCAAAUGGUCAAAGGCCUGGAAACGAUGCCUUAUGAGGAACGGCUAAGGGAGCUGGGCAUGUUUAGCCUGGAAAAGAGGAGGUUAAGGGGUGAUAUGAUAGCCAUGUUCAAAUAUAUAAAAGGAUGUCACAUAGAGGAGGGAGAAAGGUUGUUUUCUGCUGCUCCAGAGAAGCCGACACGGAGCAAUGGAUCCAAACUACAAGAAAGAAGAUUCCACCUAAACAUUAGGAAGAACUUCCUGACAGUAAGAGCUGUUCGACAGUGGAAUUUGCUGCCAAGGAGUGUGGUGGAGUCUCCUUCUUUGGAGGUCUUUAAGCAGAGGCUUGACAACCAUAUGUCAGGAGUGCUCUGAUGGUGUUUCCUGCUUGGCAGGGGGUUGGACUCGAUGGCCCUUGUGGUCUCUUCCCACUCUAUGAUUCUAUGAUUCUAUGAUUCUAUGAUUCUAUGAAAUAAGUGUUGGAAAUGUAAAGAGAAAGAAGGUUCUUUUUAUCAUAUGUGGUGGUCUUGUAGUAAGGUUAAAGCUUACUAGAAAAUGAUAUAUAAUGAUAUGAAAGGGAUGUUUAAAAUAAUGUUUGUAAAAAAAACCCCAGAAGCUUUCCUUUUGGGAAUUAUAGGGACAGAACUACCUAAACUGUAUAGAAACUUAUUUACGUAUGCAACUACAGCGGCAAGAAUGUUUCUCACCCAAAAAUGGAAAGAAGCAGAAGUCGUAGCAAAGGAAGAAUGGAUACAAAAACUUAUGGAAUAUGCAGAAAUGGCGAAACUUACCAGAGGAGUAAGAAAUCAAGAUAAACUUUUUAUAAAAGAAUGGAAAUGGUUUAUUGAAUAUUUAUAGAUAAAUUCUAAACACAUAAGAACAUUGGCAGGAUUAUUGUAAUAGCAUGCAGUUUUACAGGAGUAUAUAUUUAAAGCAGAUGAAUAAAUGAGCAAAUUAAGUUAAUUUGGAUAUGCAGAAGAUAUUAAAGUAAAUUUUAGGAACUGCAGAAAGAGGGGGAAGGAUGUCAAGUUUUGAAAUGUUAAAAUGAUUGUAAAAUUAGUGAAAUUAUAAAUCUGAAAAGUAUGAUUUUUAAUGAUGAUGAUGACACAAUGACCAGGAGUCAAAUAGCCAUGCUACAAUAGCCCAGUAGGAUGCUUGACUACUUGCAAUGAACAGCAGAACACUGUGAUCUAUCACAAAGUGGUUAUCAAAGUCCCCUCAAUUUCAGAAGUGAUUUACUACAUAGCACGAGAGGAUGCUUUUUGACAAACAGAAACACAAAUCCUCCUUGAUUAUGUGAUUCUUUGGAUUCAGCCAAAUGGGUCACAAUUUAUGCGCAUACAGAUUUAAGAAUAGCAUUAAGAGAAACAGAAAGAAACUCUGCUAACUUAACAUCUGCUAACCUGAAUCUGCUUGGAGUAAAAAUGUGUAUUCUCUUAGUCUCUCUCCCACACAUAUAAUUCCCAUUCAUAAAUUUUAUUUUAUAAAUUUUAGGGCUUAUGAAAGUGCAAAAUAAUUUUAUUUGACAGGGUAAAACUUUAUGCUGUUACUUCAAAAUUCAACACAAUUAAAUGAGUAUUUCUAUUUUUUAAUAACCUUCUUUACUGAAUUUAAAAAACCAAAUUUGAACAAGCAACAAAUGUAUUAGGUUUCUUUUAAGAUUAAAACCCACUGCAAAUUCUUGCUAAAUUUCAAAUAUGAACCAAAUGUCAUCCCAUUUAUAUAGAAAAUAUGGUUAUGCAAUUGGUUAUUCAUGUGCAUUUUAUUAUUAUUACUAUUAUUAUUAUUAUUAUGGAAACAAUCCAAUAAUUAGGAUCUGCUUUCAGAUAGGGACUGUACUAGAUAGUAUUCAAGGUACUUCCUGAUUUCUCAAUAACAUGUACCUAAAAGUUUGUGUCUGGAAUUCUGGGCCAUUCAGCACAUUAUGGUGACAUUUAUCACAGGCUUUGCCGAUAAAAUAUUGUUGAUUAGAGCUUGGUCUUCCACCCCUACCCUGCUGCCCCACUAGGGUUCGACCCUGCAAUAAAUAUAUGGAUGGAGCAAAUCUGUCCAGGUGAAAGAACCUUUACGAGCAAAGCACUCCCCUACCCCUGGUAUGAUUCCUCUCUCUCUCUUCCCAAAGCAAUGGGAUGGAAGGGUUGGCACAUCUGGUUAAUAUUCCUUGACAAGCUGUCUCUCAAUGCACUUGGGGAAGUCUCGGGUAAAGCAGAGCCAGAAGGGGCACAGCCAAGGGGCACAGAAAAAAAGAUAAUGUUUCCGCAUUUGAAAUAGCCAUGGGGCCACCAGAUAUCUGGUUCCAGCUGCAUACACACCAUACAUUGAAAGUCCCCCCCCUCCAAGAAUCCUGGGUACUGUAGUUUGUUAAGGGUGCAGGAAAUUGUGGCUCUAGGGGAGUAAAAUACAGUUCCCAGGAUUCUUUGAGAUUAAAAAAUGUGCUUUAAAUGUAUGGUGUGUAUACAUCCAUAUUCUACAUUAGUUUUUCUUUUUAUAGAUCAUAAUAGGACCUUCCACACACAUACACACACUUAUAUGUAUCAUUGUUCCACACAUUUCAUUUAUUCUUAUCGGCUUCCAAAUAAAUGGGGCAUGUUUGGCUUACUAAACAGAGCAAGGGACCACACAGAGUGGCUGGGGCAACCCAGCCAGAUGGGCAGGAUAUAAUAAUAAUAAUAAUAAUAAUAAUAAUAAUAAUAAUAAUAAUACAGUUGCCAAAAAUAUACAGGAAGAGGAAAAGACAAAUGUAUACAGGAAGAGGAAAGACAAAUGUCAAAGAUGUAAAAUGACUUGUCCUCCUAAGGCAAACCAUUGGUCCAUCUAUCCCAGUAUUACUGACUGAUAGCUGCUGUCCAAAGUUUUAGCAAGUGGUACUGGGACCUGAAGCUAGGAUUUUCAGUGUGCAAAGCCUGAUUUCUGUUGCAGAGGUAUAGCUAUUCUCCAGUGCUUAGAAGCAAAAGCAGUGGAUUCAUGAAUUUGCAAUAAAUUUAAGCAGGAUGGGGGGGGGGACUCUUUAGAGGGAUGGAAUGGAAUAACAAGCUGCUCAUGGAACAAACAAGAUGCUUUACCUCUCAAAGGGAGAUUGCAAAUAUAUAUGUCAGCGCAAUUGCAAUGCAUGGAGCUGUACAUUAAUCAGUGUUAGACUUAUAAUUUGCCUAACACUUAUUGUGGGUUACAUUAAGUUUUCACACAUGUCUUCAAAACAAGACUUCAAAGGAAAGCAUCAGAAUUUGUAGUUUUAGGGAUGACCAUAACAGCAGCUUCCCCAAAGUCCCCCAGUAAAGGUCAUGAGUUGGGAUAUGAAUCUAAAUUCCCACAGAAUGAAUUCCAGAGCUUUCUAAUGGGUCACUAGCUCUGGCUUAGAUAAACAGUCCUAAACUCAUCCGCUUCCCAUGGAUGAAUUAAUCUCAAAUUCCAAAUUAUCAAGUCUAUGUGGAGAACUAUUAAUACAAAUCAGAACCACCUGUUCUACACUUGUAUCACAUAUGUAAAAAGUCACACCUUUUGUCCAGGAAUGAUACAUUUCCUUCUGUUCUCAUAGAUUCUCAUUCAGAUUUAAUUGCACAUUCUUUCCACUCACCCACAAGCACUGAAAAACAUGCAGAAACUCACUCAUCUAUCAUUGUUAAUCACCUUGACUGUGCUUUAAUGCCCAAGCAGACAACCAAAAUACACAGUGUGAGCAUUCUCUCACCUCCAGGUAGUUUGACUAUCUGUACUACCUUACCACAUAUUAGAUGUAGGUGCAUGGUUAGAAUCUGUAGUUCAAACAGCCACCAGUUCCCACCCCUAAAUGGUGCGCACUGAACUGAAAAUGUGCCGAGGGAGGUAAAUAAUAUGUACAAAGUGAUUUUAAUUAUGUACCUUGUAGACUGGAAGACAGCUCAAGCAUAAUCUUGGGGUAAUGCUCAAACUGAUUAAUUACACUUUCCUGAACUCUUAACCCUAUUUCGUACCGAUAAUUAACAUGAAUUAAGACUUUAAUCACACCUGGCUUACACAAACUUACUUUUGCACGUGGAAUUGAGGGUUCUAGAUGGGAACAAAUUUGUGAGUUCAGAUUCAGACCUGUAGGCCGUAACUUAAGGAAAAGAACAUACAAUUUCAGUUUGCACCACCCUUUUAGUCAGAAGGAAAUGCCUUUUAAAAAAACAAAAAAGCAGUAUUUGGCAAAUGACUCCCAGCCCCUCUUACCGUGCUAAAGGGUAGCCUUUUGACCACCUCCCGCUUGCUCCUUGUUGACAACAGAAGCCAACAAAAGUUUCUUGAGUGUUCAGUGUUCCUCGAACAUUCUUCCACAGCAGUAGGACCUUUCAGCACCAGAGGCCGGGGACAGCUCCCUCACCUCCGCUAUAGGAAAAGAGCCUCUGUCUUUAGUCCCGGGUUGCCUUCGAGCCUUUCCCGGUCUCUCUUUUCUCCCACCCACUGGCGCAGGCUGGCGCUAGAAAACACAAAAUAACAGGCUCUCCUCUGGGUCACGGCUGUCGACCCUAUGCCUCUCUGUUCGCUGGGUUUUCAGCGCGGUCUCGGCACUUAGAAGGGGUUCAGGAACUUUCCUCUGCUGCUUCCUCUUCCAGAACCACAAGUUCUCCGGGCAGCUCCUCCUCUUGCUUCUGGAGAACUCCUCGGGAUCCCGACACUUUUGAAAAGCUUUCUGGUGUUGGCGAUUUCCGCUUGACUGGAACCUCCGGGAGCUCCUCCCACUUGGGGUAGAGAAAAGAGAGUGCAAAGCAGCAAGGACGCCUGCACUGGACGUCUGCAAGG